CGCGGUCCAGCGCACACAAACUGGUUAAAUCGGGCUCAUAACCCGAAGGUCGUAGGUUCCUACCCCCGCAACCA
rnacentral:tRNA from 1 species